rnacentral:lncRNA from 15 species
CUUUUUUAAGAAUAUUUGAACUGGAUAUAUUCCUUCAUUUGAUAGUUGACAAUAUAGAGUGACAGGAAACAUAAAAGGAAUGAAAAAAAACAAAUAAAGUGUUUGUAGUUGAACCUGUGACACCACUGUUACGUGCUAUGUGUCUUACAGUAAACUGCUGGUCUAUCAUAAUUAUUUAGAGCACUUCUAACCUCAGUUUAAACUAACACAAGCUAAUCUGCCCAAAGUGACUGUAGAACAGUGAAGGACAUAAUCAGCUCUCUUUAAUGGAAGGCUUUUAUUGUGAAGCAGCUGCAGGAAGUGUUGAGUUUGUAUUAAUAACAACUACAGGCAGAUCAAUAAAUGUUUAAUAAGACAGACGGAUAGGAAAAGCACUCAGUGUUUAUGAAAGCAGGAGAGUUGAAAUAAAAGGAAUCAUUUUCAUUACAGACUGAAUGCUGAAUUCAAACAGAAAAGUUAACAACACUUUUAAUGUUCUCUGUGACCAUCUGAGCUUCCAGACAGUGUCGGACAAAUCUCAGUAUUUUUCAUCAACAAUCAACAAAUCAUUUUAGUAAUAAAGAAAUGUCUUCACAGAGAGAGGAAGAGGAGUCAUGUUUCUGUGGAGGAGCAGCUGUCCUGCUGUGUUUUGUGUCAGGACGUCCUGAAGGAUCCAGUCUCUACCAGCUGUGGACACUGGUUCUGCAGACAGUGCAUCACCUCAUACUGGGACCAGUCUGCUUCAUCAGGAGACUCCUCCUGUCCCCAGUGUGGAGAAAGAUCCAGAACAAGAGCUGGACUGCAGACAGCCAGUCAGACCAGCACUGUACAAAUGAGUGGUGGUCUGCAGGAGGUUUUAGAUGAACAUAAGAUCAGUCAGAAGAUGAGAUGUAAACAUGUGACUGAAGGAACUGAUGAAACAGGAAGUGGAACCCUCCUCAACAGGAUCUAUACUGAGCUCUACAUCACAG